rnacentral:rRNA from 1 species
GUCCAGACUCCUACGGGAGGCAGCAGUGGGGAAUAUUGCACAAUGGGGGAAACCCUGAUGCAGCGACGCCGCGUGAGCGAUGAAGUAUUUCGGUAUGUAAAGCUCUAUCAGCAGGGAAGAAAAUGACGGUACCUGACUAAGAAGCCCCGGCUAACUACGUGCCAGCAGCCGCGGUAAUACGUAGGGGGCAAGCGUUAUCCGGAUUUACUGGGUGUAAAGGGAGCGUAGACGGCAUGGCAAGUCAGAUGUGAAAGCCCGGGGCUCAACCCCGGGACUGCAUUUGAAACUGUCAGGCUGGAGUGCAGGAGAGGUAAGUGGAAUUCCUAGUGUAGCGGUGAAAUGCGUAGAUAUUAGGAGGAACACCAGUGGCGAAGGCGGCUUACUGGACUGUAACUGACGUUGAGGCUCGAAAGCGUGGGGAGCAAACAGGAUUAGAUACCCCAGUA